UACGUAGGGUGCGAGCGUUAAUCGGAAUUACUGGGCGUAAAGCGUGCGCAGGCGGUUCUGAAAGUCAGAUGUGAAAUCCCCGGGCUUAACCUGGGAAUGGCCUUUGUGACUGCACGGCUAGAGUGUGUCAGAGGGGGGUAGAAUUCCACGUGUAGCAGUGAAAUGCGUAGAGAUGUGGAGGGAUACCGAUGGCGAAGGCAGCCCCCUGGGAUAACACUGACGCUCAUGCACGAAAGCGUGGGGAGCAAA
rnacentral:rRNA from 1 species